GACGAACGCUGGCGGCGCGCCUAACACAUGCAAGUCGAACGAGAGAGAGGAAGCUUGCUUCCUUAAUCGAGUGGCGAACGGGUGAGUAACGCGUGAGGAACCUGCCUCAAAGAGGGGGACAACAGUUGGAAACGACUGCUAAUACCGCAUAAGCCCACAGAACCGCAUGGUUCUGGGGGAAAAGGAGCAAUUCGCUUUGGGAUGGACUCGCGUCCGAUUAGCUGGAUGGUGAGGUAACGGCCCACCAUGGCAACGAUCGGUAGCCGGACUGAGAGGUUGAUCGGCCACAUUGGGACUGAGGCACGGCCCAGACUCCUACGGGAGGCAGCAGUGGGGAAUAUUGCACAAUGGGGGAAACCCUGAUGCAGCGACGCCGCGUGGAGGAAGAAGGCCUUCGGGUUGUAAACUCCUGUCGUAAGGGACGAUAGUGACGGUACCUUACAAGAAAGCCACGGCUAACUACGUGCCAGCAGCCGCGGUAAAACGUAGGUGGCAAGCGUUGUCCGGAAUUACUGGGUGUAAAGGGAGCGCAGGCGGGUCUGCAAGUUGGAAGUGAAACCCAUGGGCUCAACCCAUGAACUGCUUUCAAAACUGCGGAUCUUGAGUGGUGUAGAGGUAGGCGGAAUUCCCGGUGUAGCGGUGGAAUGCGUAGAUAUCGGGAGGAACACCAGUGGCGAAGGCGGCCUACUGGGCACUAACUGACGCUGAGGCUCGAAAGCAUGGGUAGCAAACAGG
rnacentral:rRNA from 1 species